UUCGGGGUCUUACACCUCAUAUAUCAUGUGUAUGUUACGCGGCUCCUCUACUACUCUGCUAGGUCCUCCCAAGUCAGUCAUCCUACAACCACCAACAUAAGAUAAAACAAACAAUAACUCCAUUAAAAUGUUAAAUAAACAUAAGUUAAUUGUAUAGAAUGAAAUUAUAUUCCAUAACACACUAAGUCUCUCUCUAGGAAAACUCUACAUGAGUUUC
rnacentral:lncRNA from 1 species